rnacentral:rRNA from 1 species
AUUGAACGCUGGCGGCGUGCUUAACACAUGCAAGUCGAACGAAGUGGCGAACGGGUGAGUAACGCGUAAUCACCCUGCCCUUCAGAGGGGGACAACAGUUGGAAACGACUUCUAAUACCGCAUACUGAAGGAGGGGAUUGCGUCUGAUUAGCUAGUUGGCGCGGUAAAGGCCCACCAAGGCGAUGAUCAGUAGCCGGUCUGAGCGGAUGAACGGCCACAUUGGGACUGAGACACGGCCCAGACUCCUACGGGAGGCAGCAGUGAGGAAGAGUGGUAAAUGGGCGUUAGCCUGAACCAGCCAAGUAGCGUGAAGGAGGAAGGUCUAUGGGUCGUAAACUUCUUUUAUAUAAGAAUAUGUAUUAUAUGAAUAAGGAUCGGCUAACUCCGUGCCAGCAGCCGCGGUAAUAC